GCACAUCCACUCGAGUAUGUCGUGACCACAAAAACGAAGAACGUCGAGCAGGUCGCUGAGUAAGAACCGAAGCCGCCAUUGUUGGUUCGUUCGUACACCAUCGAUGGGGUCUCAAUGUCGGGUCAUGGGGCUUAACUAGAUCGCGAGGAAGGUGAUUAUGGCCUCGCCUGGUGGAAAUUCAUAGUGGAGCACCAGAGAUUGCUCGUCGGAAUUCUUUCUCCAUCGUGGAGCCGAUGGCCUCCAUGGCAACAUUGCUCCCACCACUAUAUCUGAUCAUUUUAUUAAUUGGAACAUGGAGCGACCACCCGAGACAACAAUGCUAUCACAAUGGUGGAAUGGGAUGAUGUUGGCUGAUUAAUUAGGAAAGCUAGCAUGUGAGAAUUCUUUCUCAAAAGGGGCAAGCGUGGAGGAGUUACCACAAGUACAGGGAGGUUCUCGGGUCAAGCUGUCUAUGAUAGCUUUCUGGACAAGGGAUUCUAUACCCCCUCUGCUUGAAACCAUAGCAACUUUUCUGAUGCUAGUGAAACUUUAUAAAGGCCUCGUAGUGUGUCCUCGCCAACUCACCUUGGAAAUGUUUAAGGGUCUGCACAACCCAAUGCGAAAAGGGAACACGACUUGUUCGUAAAGAUGUGCAACCUCUGCAGAGUGUAAAACUGGUAUAUCAGCCGUGCUCACGGUCAUGAGCGGUUCGGACCCUCACAUGAGUAAUGUAUGAAAUUAAAUUUAACAUGUCAUGCAUUGUAUUGUGGGAAUUUCAUUAUGAUAUAUUAUUUUGAUUGGGAUGGUAUUUACUUAUACUAAGUAAUUGCUAAUAAAAUUUUGAACAACAAAGUUAAAAGCUAUGCUCGGCCUUAGCCGUUUUCCUUGGUAAGCCAUAUACACUACUGGACACAGUUGCGUUGCUGAGUGCUUCAAGCACUCAGCAAAGUCUUUGCCGAGUGUGACUCUCGGUGAACUGUACAUCGACAACAACUUCUUUGUAGAGUACUUUUUGUCGGGCACUCGACAAAGUCUUUGUCGAGUGCCAUCUAGUGCUUGGCAAAGAAAAGUCACCAUCAUGGUGACAAGUGACGGUGACUAAGACUUUGCCAAGUGUACUCACUUACACUCGGCAAAGAGGGAACCUUUACCGAAUGCCAGCCGGCCUGGCACUCAACAAAGCAGGCUCUAGUAGGCCCCCAUGGCACCAUAUGUGCCAAGAGCCGCAAGUUGGCACUCAGCAAAGGGAGCUUUUUUGCAGAGUGCCUGCCUGCCUGGCACUCGGCAAAGGGAGCACCAGUGGUCCCCUUUGCCAGUCCCUUUGCCGAGAGGCACUCGACAAAGGGUGCUUCUUUGCCGAGUGCUAGGACCACAAUACUCGACAACGAAGCUUUACCGGUUCCUAGGUGUGCCUUCUUUGUCUAACACUUUUGCCACUGUACUAGGCGAAGGAGCUCUUUGUCGUGUGUAACACUCGGCAAAGUGACUAGAAAAUUGUUUUUUAUUUGGUUUUAUUAUUCCAUCCAAACAAACAAAACAUAUAUCACAUAAUCAUCACAUAUACAUCACAAAGUGCACAGAAUCAUUACAUACAUAAUAGAUACCACAUAUCUCACAAAAACCACGAGUCUCACAAGUUUUUCACAAACAUAAGUUCUAUCACAAACAUAAGUAUCACAAAGACCACAACUCACACAAGUUCAGACCAAGUUUCACAAACAAGUUUGACAACCAUAAGAUCAUCUGCGAGGUUGCAGCUAGACUGUGUCAGCGAAGGGCUGAGCGAAGCGUGAGGGUUGUUCGAUGCCACCGAUUGUCCCUGCACAGAGAAGAGAUUGCAUGUGUGAGACCAGAUGAAUAUAUAUCAUGCAGGACUAAAAUUUUGAAACCCACAGGAGUAUGGAACCGAGUAGGGUCAACUAGAGGGAACAACAAAUGUGGUGGAGCAAGACCCUAUGCGGCGCCAAGGCUCUACAUGUAUUGGAACAUCUCCACCAUCCUCUGCUGAUCCACCAAGCGAGUCGCCCUUAUCCUCGCCUCCAUUUCUAUACGCGGCCUGCUGAUGACCCUUUGCCGAGGGUUACAUUUCACCGAGAGAUGGACACUCGACAAAGGCUACUAUGCUGAGCGUCUGAUUAUGCAGAGUGUUCACGCUCGACAAAGGAGGUCUGUGCCGAGUGUGUUUGUUCACUGAGAGUGGCGCUCGGCAAAACAUGUUUUGCCGAGUGCCCGAUAAAUUGUUGUCGACAAAGCAUCGGGCACUCGACAAAGAGCUUGUUUUCGGUAGUGACACUACACUUCUUGAGCCCCAAUAAUAAGUGAGUUCAUACACACUUUUCCCCAUACUUGUUGUGACACCUGGAUUUAAGGGAUAAAGCUGGGUGCGUCUCAUAUGUGCGCCAAAGAAGAACAUCACAUAUAAUGACAAAGUGUAUAGAGAUAAAUGUCACAAGUAUCAUUAUUACAUAGCGGAAGUCUUACAAAAAUAAAUGAUAACAAUAAAGCAAACUAAAUAUUCUUCCUUGGCGCCAACAAGCUGACUGGGAGACGCCACCUAGAUGAGCUCGUACUCUUCAUUGUAAGGCUCCUCCUGGACCACCUAUUCUUCUCCUGUGUGUGGGGGGGUUAUAUAUCGCAAGGGUGAGCUCACAAAAGAUCAUUGCUCAAAAAGUUGUGGCAAAUAAUGUGCAUGAACUCACCAAAGGUGGGAGCUCAUGUGAAGUGUAAGGCUGAUCAAUAAAUAAGGGGUAAAGCUGAGCAUUGCUUUUAUAAGUUGGUCAAGUUUUAUUAGAAGUUACUAAAUGUAAGUAGAUACCAAACCAGAGUAAUAAUAGAUCGAAAUUGAUAAUAAAUCCCAAUGUGAUGCAAAUGACAAAUUGAAUUUAGUUCCAUAAAUUAAUCAUGCAAGAGUCUUGAGCUGCUCAUGACCACGAGCACGACUAGUAUACCAAUUUUACACUCUGUAGAGGUUGUACCAUGUACCCACAAGUCGUGUAUCCCAUCUAGCCUUUGUUUGCAAGGCCCUUAGACACUGCCGAGGUGAAUGGCUAGGGAUCCACUACGAGGCCUUUACAAAGUUCCACUAGCUUCAGAAAACCCGCUACAGUUCUUGGAAGAGCAAUGCAGGAAUUCCCCGUCUGAUCGCCAUCAUAGCAAAAUCAACCUGAGAACCUCCCUACAUGCCUACUCCCCUACUACCCUUGCCCCUUUCGGGUAAGGUAGUCCUACACUAGCUUUCCUUGUUAGUCAGCCAAGGGUGUCCCAUUCCACCCUUGUGGUGGCACAUGUUUCUCAAGUUAAGCUCGAUGUUCCAAUUAACAUAGUGGUCUUAUCAUGAAAAGAAAUAGAACAAUAAUAAAGAAUGACCAUGUGUAAUAGUUUUCUCAACACCCAAAACCAUAUAUAGCAAUAACAAAGACUAACCAAAAGUUCAGGGGUAAACAAGGUGUAAAGAUAACCAGGCUAGGGUGACCUAUUGGGUCCCAUCAAAAUUAAGCCUAUGCAUGAUAAAUGAUUAUAGAGAACAUUAUUGGGUAAAUAAAAGUGGGCAAGGGCACAACUUGCCUUCAAUGAGCUCCUGCUCAGCAACUUCUACCUGCUGAACACCUGAAUCCUCGGCCACUGGCUCGUCUACUCGCCACAAUACAAACAAACAUGGUACCAGGGAGAAAUUAACAUCACACCAACCAUGAAUAUAGAAUAUAUAAUAAUUAUCUACACUUCAUAACGAGGUCGUAGGAACAAGAAUCACUAAAUUCGGAAUUACAGAUUUUAGGUUAUGAUUUUCCGAAGGUUUCAUGUGUUCGGUAUAGAAAUAAUUAAGUGAUCAAUUUUAAUACAUGUUUCAUGCUAAAACAGAGACACUAGGUGAUAAACAAUAUUAAUACCAAAUUAAUGCAACUAGAAUGGGUUCAAAAGGAGUUAACAUGUAUUUUCUAGGAAUUAAACAAGUUCUUGGAAUUAAUUUUGCACUAAUGAUUAUUUUCCAACUGAAUUUCCAUAGUGUAUUCCCUUAUUAGACCGCGCACAUUAUUAUCAAAACGUUCAGGGGCUUCUACGUAAACCGUUCUAAGACCAGAGCACUCUACGCUGGACUGCGGGUUCAUAUGCCAGAAAUGGAGGCGCUCUUGUGCUAAUGUCACUACAAGAAAUUUGUCCUUUUAUGACAAAAUACCUAAUGACAAGGUCAGUUAUUGUCAUAUAAUGUCACAUAAUAUGAUGGAAUUUUUUGAGUCGUCAUAAUUUCAUGAGGCCAUGAAGAUUUUAUGGCGAUAGUGUUUUUUUGUCACAUAAGGGUACGAAGAUUCGUCAUAUAUUGUCAGGCGCCAGAAGCUGGUAGACGGUUUUACUUUUAUGACGCUUAGAUGUGCCUUUAUUUGAUGAUUUGGCAGCGUCACUUUAUGUUUUUUCCAAAAAAGGACCGUACCCCUUUCUAUUGACCGCAUUCACUUUCCCAUCUCCCACCCAAGAUGACCAAAAUUUUCCUCCUACCUUAUCCUCUCGGCUGCUCACCUCCGCGUCCGCCCCCACCACCACGCGCCCGCCCCCAAAACCCCCACAAACCCUAGCCACCGCCAGCAAGGAAUGGCCGCCCUCCUGCGGCUUGCUGCAGCCCGAUCCGCCCUCCCCCGGCGCACCCUCGCCCCACACCAGAGGCUCGCGGCGGUCGCGGCCGUCGCGAUGGAGGAGUGGUGGUCCGACUAGGAGCAGGACGGCGAGGAGGAGGCGCGUGCCUCGGCACCGGCUGUCGGCCUUGACCCCGCCGGCGGGGGCCCCUGGGGCGUGCAGUGGGUCGUCAUGGGCCGCCCUGGCCCGCAGAAGCAUGCCCACGCCGCGCGCCUCGCCGAUGUGCUCGCCGUGCCCUACAUCUCCAUGGGCGUGCUCCUUAGGCAGGAGCUCAACCCCGCCUUGCAACUCUAUAGGAAGGUGGGUGGCUCCUGUUCCCCUGUCCGGUGCUCUGGGGGAGGCUCACGUUCCACUCCCCUCUCUUUGUCUGUGCUCCAGCUGCUCUGAUUCUGUGAUCUUGGGAGGUCUUAAUCAUCCUAGCUACGAUCUAGCCGUUUAACUUAUUUAAGUCCCUAGCCGCUAAACUACUCAGAGAUCAGCAAGUUCUCUAGGAAGGAUGCAGUGGCAUACCCAAGGUGCAGUUUAUCUUGGAAUGAUCUUAGAUUAAAUAAAUGUUUAAGUUCCUGAUUCCUGUGGUAUCUAUGUACAUUUUAGCUCUUUAUUACAAUGGUCUUGGUAGGAUCUGUAUGUGAAUGCAGAUACGAGGAGAAGCUGGAGAACUUCUGCAAGCUCAUGGACUUUGUCAUAGACUCAGCUCCACCUGAGUUGAGGCAGGAGGCCCACUUCUCGAUGGUUGACAGGAUGAAGCAUAGGGUUGAGAAGUCAGCAUUCUGGGGCCACCUUCUUCGGCAUGUGAUGCAGCAGGGGCAGAAGAACAUGGUGGAAUUCUUUGACCUACUCCUUUCUCCGGCAUCGAAAAUCUUGAACACCUGGUUUGAGAGUGAGGUUUUGAAGGCCACUCUUGCAACUGACGCCAUGAUAGGAGCUAUGGCUGGUGUCCACACUCCAGGUUCUGGAUAUGUUCUCCUACACCAUGUCAUGGGGGAGACUGGUGGUCAGCGUGGUGUUUGGGCGGCUUGGAUUGAAUGAAGAGGUUCCACCCAACAUGGAUUCGAAGACAAAGUUCAGUGAUGUCAAGGGAGUUGACGAAGCUAAAGCUGAACUUGAGGAAAUUGUUCACUACCUACGAGAUCCUAAGGCCGCACUUGAAGAAAUCUUAUAUCAGUUUGAGGAAAAACUCCAAGUUGAAAGAGAGGAAGCUGCUAGGAAGCAGGAAGAGUUGCAAGCACAACUACAAGCUCAACAGGUCGCACUUGAAGAAAACCAAAGUUUGCUGCGCCAGGCCCAAGUGGAAGUGAAGGGGAUGCAUACCAAGUUUGAAGAGACCAAUGCACUGCUACGAGUUGUCCUGAAACUUCAGAAAGAUUGAGGUAGGGAUGCAUACCAAGUCUGAGGAUGAUGCCUUUGCUUAAGGUUUUUCUACCUUGCUAGAACAUAUCUAUGGUUAGAACUUUGUCAGAACUACGUGCAAUCUGUUUGAAUGCUUCAAACCUUUGUGGUGGAACCUUUGUAUGUUUGAACCUCUUUUGUGGAAGAACUAUUGUGAUGGAAUUGUGUAUGACUUGUGAUGAGAAUGUUGUGUAUGAUGGCUUUUCUGUGUAUUAUGAUUCUGUGAGCUAUCAUGAGAGCUCAGUGUGUCGUCACUGUA